rnacentral:sRNA from 1 species
GCUGGGCACAGUGGUGUAUGCCUAUAAUCCCAGUGGCUUGGGAGGCUGAGGCAGGAGGAUUGUGAGUUCAAAGCCAGCCUCAG